rnacentral:rRNA from 1 species
AUUGAACGCUGGCGGCAUGCUUUACACAUGCAAGUCGAACGGUAACAGGUUAAGCUGACGAGUGGCGAACGGGUGAGUAAUGCAUCGGAACGUGCCCGAUCGCGGGGGAUAACGCAGCGAAAGCUGCGCUAAUACCGCAUACGAUCUGAGGAUGAAAGCGGGGGACCGUAAGGCCUCGCGCGAUCGGAGCGGCCGAUGUCAGAUUAGGUAGUUGGUGGGGUAAAGGCUAACCAAGCCGACGAUCUGUAGCUGGUCUGAGAGGACGCCCAGCCACACUGGGACUGAGACACGGCCCAGACUCCUACGGGAGGCAGCAGUGGGGAAUUUUGGACAAUGGGCGCAAGCCUGAUCCAGCAAUGCCGCGUGCAGGAAGAAGGCCUUCGGGUUGUAAACUGCUUUUGUACGGAGCGAAAAGGCUCUCUCUAAUACAGGGGGCUCAUGACGGUACCGUAAGAAUAAGCACCGGCUAACUACGUGCCAGCCGCCGCUGUAACAC